UACGGAGGGGACUAGCGUUGUUCGGAAUUACUGGGCGUAAAGCGCACGUAGGCGGAUUUGUAAGUCAGGGGUGAAAUCCCGAGGCUCAACCUCGGAACUGCCUUUGAUACUGCGAAUCUCGAGUCCGGAAGAGGUGAGUGGAAUUCCUAGUGUAGAGGUGAAAUUCGUAGAUAUUAGGAAGAACACCAGAGGCGAAGGCGGCUCACUGGUCCGGUACUGACGCUGAGGUGCGAAAGCGUGGGGAGCAAACAGG
rnacentral:rRNA from 1 species